rnacentral:rRNA from 1 species
CUACGGGCUGCAGCAGUGGGGAAUAUUGGACAAUGGGGGAAACCCUGAUCCAGCAAUGCCGCGUAUGUGAAGAAGGCCUGCGGGUUGUAAAGCACUUUCGGUUGGGAGGACUGCUUCUAGCACUAAUAUUGUUGGAAGUUGACGUUACCUUCAGAAGAAGCACCGGCUAACUCCGUGCCAGCAGCCGCGGGAAUACGGAGGGUGCAAGCGUUAAUCGGAAUUACUGGGCGUAAAGCGCGCGUAGGCGGCUAGAUCAGUCGGGUGUGAAAGCCCCGGGCUUAACCUGGGAACUGCCUCCGAUACUGUCUAGCUUGAGUACAGGAGAGGAGAGUGGAAUUCCACAUGUAGCGGUGACAUGCGUAGAUAUGUGGAGGAACACCAAUGGCGAAGGCAGCUCUCUGGCCUGAUACUGACGCUGAGGUGCGAAAGCGUGGGGAGCAAACAGGAUUAGAUACCCUCGUAGUC